UACGUAGGGGGCAAGCGUUGUCCGGAAUCAUUGGGCGUAAAGAGUGUGUAGGCGGUGCUCUAAGUUCGGUGUGAAAUCUCCCGGCUUAACUGGGAGGGUGCGCCGGAAACUGGAGUGCUCGAGCGUGGGAGAGGAAAGCGGAAUUCCUGGUGUAGCGGUGGAAUGCGUAGAGAUCCCCAAGAACACCAGUUGCGAAGGCGGCUGACUGGACACAUAUUGACGCUGAGGCUCGAAAGCAUGGGGAGCAAACAGG
rnacentral:rRNA from 1 species